rnacentral:rRNA from 1 species
GAUGAACGCUAGCUACAGGCUUAACACAUGCAAGUCGAGGGGCAGCAUGAACAAAGCUUGCUUUGUUUGAUGGCGACCGGCGCACGGGUGCGUAACACGUAUCCAAUCUGCCCGCGGCUCGGGGAUAGCCCAUCGAAAGAUGGAUUAAUACCCGAUGGUGUGGUUUCUCCGCAUGGGGUUCCACUAAAGGUUUUCCGGCCGCGGAUGAGGAUGCGUAUGAUUAGGUAGUAGGCGGGGUAACGGCCCACCUAGCCUUCGAUCAUUAGGGGUUCUGAGAGGAAGGUCCCCCACACUGGAACUGAGACACGGUCCAGACUCCUACGGGAGGCAGCAGUGAGGAAUAUUGGUCAAUGGGCAGAGCCUGAACCAGCCAAGUAGCGUGAAGGAGACUGCCCUAUGGGUUGUAAACUUCUUUUGUUCGGGAAUAAAGUGCAGUAUGUAUACUGUUUUGUAUGUACCGUUCGAAUAAGCAUCGGCUAAUUCCGUGCCAGCAGCCG